UAAUAGCACAUGUGUCUGUGCCCCUGUUUGGAAUCAGCUGCUGGGCCUCCUGCUCCCUCCACCUGCUCACUUUUUGGUGAGAGGGCUCCGAUGGUGUGUCUAGAAGGGGGUUGAAUUCCCUUUCUCCCACCAGCAGAGGGCCCAGUAAGGAUCCAAGAGGAUUAGCAUUCAGAGGAGCGUCUCUUUCUUGGAGAGCCCUAAGGGCUGGUGGUAGGUUAAGUGGGUGGGAGAGUCGGGGGCUACAAUGGACAGUGAAUGAGCAGGGGCUCUGAGACAUUUGGGAAGGAGAAGGGGCCAGGGCAGAGACCAUCACUGCUGCUUGGUAAGAAAACAGGAGACACUGCAGGACCCAAGAAAUUGAGUGUUCUGGACAAAGAACCCCGACUUGAGUUGCACUGCAGCAGGGAUGCAGAAUCAUUCACCCAAUACAGAAAUGCAGCCACCUCUGGGGUGGAAUAUGGCAGCUAUUUAACAAUGCACAGCAACACAAAUCACUGUUCAAGGAAGUGAAGGACAACACUGAAUUCAAUUGAAACGAGUAGGAAUUUAGGAAGGUUAAAUGUGAUUAAUUACCAAAAAUUGAAUUUGGGGCUAACGCCUUCAUUUUGCUGAAAGUGCCAUGGGGUCUUUUAACCUUCCUCCAGGAUUAUGAUCUUGGAUUUCUAUUCCUUUCAAAAGAUGGCACUUCUACUAGAACAAUAUCUCCAUGGCAGGACAUUGUUUCAGUGCUGGCUCUAAGGAGAGGAUGGCUUUCUGAAUCACUCACACCACUUUUUGCAGCAUCUGCAAUUUCUUUAGAAGCUUUUCUGUCAAGUCCUGACCAGGCCUGACCCCAAGUAAUUACUCAGCUGUUACAUGACAUUAGCCCAAGGUGGUGUGGUUGCAAAAUCUCCCCAUCUUUCUGCACUUCAAGGGGUGGGAUGUCCCUGUUCUUCCUCCACUGCGCACAGUAGGGUCUCUUCUACCCAGGUACCAUCUCCACACACAGAAAACAAAUCCCUGAACCUAGUGUCCAGCUAGGCCAAUGACUCUCCCACCAUACCUUCCCCCUCCAUGGAGGAAAAACUCCUCCAGACAGCCCAUAUCAAACCACAACCUGACACACUGCUCCCCCAAGGCUAGACAGUUUCUGACACCUACUCCUCCACUUCAUCCCCAAAACUGGCUACUCCAGCUGCCCCUCCCAUGGAACUGUCUCCCCAACACCAAGCCCCAAUUUGGAUCCAUCUCUGCUAAGUGUCCCCUUCUCUCCGCCUCAGCCUCUUCCCCAACCUGGGGACCCCCAUGAGACCCCAGAGACUCACCUGGCUU